rnacentral:tRNA from 1 species
UCCGAUAUGGUGUAGUGGCCAACAUGAUGCCCUCUCAAGUAACCGAGAGGUCAGGCAUAGCCCCGAGUUCGAUUCUCGGUUUCGGAA